GUCUGGAUGUUGCCCCCCACCCCCGAUCCUUCUCAGCCAAAAUACAAACAAACAAAAAAAAGCCUCCAAAAUUCAAUUCAUGGAAGUUCAGUCCUGAACGCAAAACUCGAGGUCAGAUUGUGUAGGGGGCUUCAUACCGGGAAGGGCUUAAGGACCUACCAUUUCUGCCACUGUUGAUAAAGGGAUGCUUGUGGGGAAAAGUAGCCCUGGAUUAUCCUGGGCUGGCAACACAUAACCAGAGAAGCUCUUGAAAGAGUGGGACAAACGUGAUUUCCAGGGAUCGAACGCAAUACCUCGAAGUUACCUUCCUUCUUGUAUUGGGCACACUGUUCGAAUUUUCCAAACCUCGAGUUUCAGGAAAUCUUUUCUUCAAAAACAAACCACGGCGAUCCACCACUCCUGGGACAGCUAACCCUCAGGUUUCUAAAAUGUGCUGAGGCAUUUCUGCAGUCUGCCACCGGGCCUGGGUGUGUAGCUCUCACCCUCAAAAGUCCCAAGAUCAAAAUAGUACCUGGAAAAUGGAUGCCUUAAAGGUCUCUCUGAAAAUUCCAUGUGUCUCAGCCAUCUGGUGUAAGUUAUUUAUUAUUCAAUGAAAGUUCAGUGAAAGCCCUCAGCUACCACCAUUCUCCACCCUACCACUAGACACCCCUAAUUCCAGAGCUCAUCCAGCAGAAAAGGCUACGGACAUGGAAACCAAGCCUACCUUCUGGAGACCCGAACCAAACCUGGAGAACUGAACCAACCUUCGGAAUUCAACUCACAGCAGAAAGCAGGUUAAGAGACAGCAUUCCACAUAUCUGUCCACCCCUUCAGCCCCUGUGCAUCUUUUAUCUCUGCUCAGCCUCCAUCCUAUUUGUACAACCACACAUCAAAUAUGUCCAAACUUUAGGUUGGCUGGGGUGAAAGUCUAUAAAGCCAGGACAUAAGUCAUAGCAGGAGGGUGCAAUGAUGCAAGCUCAAUGUUCUCCCCAGUGCGUCUGUGGUACUCCACAAACUCAGUUCAGUGGAAUCUUCACCCCAGCAGAAUUUAAUAGUACAUCUUCCAGCACACUCCUCAUGCUUUUCUUCAGCCUGACUCCUUCUUGGGUGCCACCUAUGCUUUCUGCUCGUGAGUGAUUCCCACAAGAUCAAACGGACAUCCAGACAUCAAAAAUAGAUAAGGUUUGGGACAGAUGGUCCCAGUGUUUUGAACCCAUUUUUAUGGAACUGUUUUGGUCCAUCAACAACCUCGGAAUGCCAAGGACGUCUUCCAGAAUGAUCCCAUUGUCCUUUCCUGCUCCAACAAUCCAAGGAAAAAGAGUUUUCCUUCUUUGUGUAUCAGAAUCACCCCAAGAGAUGGUUAUGCAUUCAUCUUCCCAGGGUCCAUCCCAAACCUACUGAACCAGAGUAUCCAGGA